GUCAUAGCCUAGUCGGUUAGAGCUCACGAUUUUCAUCUGAAGGUCGUGGGUUCGAAUCCGGUCG
rnacentral:tRNA from 1 species